GUGCCAGCCGCCGCGGUAAUACGUAGGUGGCAAGCGUUGUCCGGAAUUAUUGGGCGUAAAGCGCGCGCAGGUGGUUUCUUAAGUCUGAUGUGAAAGCCCACGGCUUAACCGUGGAGGGUCAUUGGAAACUGGGGGACUUGAGUGCAGAAGAGGAAAGUGGAAUUCCAAGUGUAGCGGUGAAAUGCGUAGGGAUUUGGAGGAAAACCAGUGGCGAAGGCGACUUUCUGGAAUGCAACUGACGCUGAGGCGCGAAAGCGUGGGGAGCAAAAGGGAUUAGAUACCCCGGUAGUCCAUGCCGUAAACGAUG
rnacentral:rRNA from 1 species